rnacentral:rRNA from 1 species
UGGGGAAUAUUGCACAAUGGGCGAAAGCCUGAUGCAGCAACGCCGCGUGAGCGAAGAAGGCCUUUGGGUCGUAAAGCUCUGUCGAGAAGGAAGAUAAUGACGGUACUUCUCGAGGAAGCCCCGGCUAACUACGUGCCAGCAGCCGCGGUAAUACGUAGGGGGCGAGCGUUAUCCGGAAUUAUUGGGCGUAAAGAGUGCGUAGGUGGUUGUUUAAGCGUGGGGUGAAAGGCAAUAGCUCAACUAUUGUAAGCCCCGCGAACUGGGCGACUUGAGUGCAGGAGAGGAAAGCGGAAUUCCUAGUGUAGCGGUGAAAUGCGUAGAUAUUAGGAGGAACACCAGUGGCGAAGGCGGCUUUCUGGACUGUAACUGACACUGAGGCACGAAAGCGUGGGGAGCAAACAGG